GGACAGCAGCAACCUCAGCUAUCACUAACAAGAAAACUCAAACUCCUAGUAGUGGCAGAUGUGAAGAGUUCAGCUUACAAAGAAAAUAUGAUGAAGAAAAGGUUGUUGGAAGAUUCAGCAGGUGAGAAAAGGAUUGAGAAGCAAGAAGAAGUGAUGACGACAAAAAGAGGGACAUGGAGAGAAUGGGUAGAGAACCCUAACAAGUCAGAAUAUUUCACAAUGGAUUAUUCUUGGGUUAGAAGACGACGUCCAAUACACAACAAGCAAAUUCCGCUCAUCCCAUAAAACAUGGAGUUUGCUACCUUGUUAGUAC